rnacentral:rRNA from 1 species
GGUGAAUGCUGGCGGCGUGGAUAAGUCAUGCAAGUCAAGGGGGCCCGCAAGGGCAACCGGCAAACGAGGUAGUAACACGUAGGUAGACCCCCAGAGUCGGGCAUAGCCAGCCGAAAGGUUGGGUAAUUCCCCGAUAGUCCCGAAAGGGUAAAGGUUUUUCGCUCUGGGAGUUGCCUGCGUAGUAUCAGCUAGUUGGUAGGGUAAUGGCCUACCAAGGCUACGACGCUUAGGGGAGCUGAGAGGCUGACCCCCACCGAUGGAACUGCGACACGGUCCAUACUCCUACGGGAGGCUGCAGACGAGAAUAUUCCGCAAUGGGCGAAAGCCUGACGGAGCGACGCCGCGUGAUUGAUGAAGUGCUUCGGUACGUAAAGAUCUUUUAUCGGGGACGAAGUUUAUUGACGGUACCCGAUGAAUAAGGGGCUCCUAACUCUGUGCCAGCAGCCGCGGUAAU